CAACAAUUACAUGCUGUAUGACAAUGAAAAUGCAAGAAAUAUUUAUAGUGACUGAGAAGUUAAAAGAUAUGAAAAUGAAGUGAAGUGAAGGAUAACGGCAUUGAAAAUUAAUGAAUCUUGUCAAUGGUCUGGCUGGUGUUGACAGAAGAUAAAGGAGAGGAACAAUGAUUAUUAAUAAAUUGUAAACAUCAAAAAAUUCCAAAACUAUAUUGUGGUGUUGAAAUCCAGUAAAUUUUCUUGUAAAGCUUGGAGCAUUGCAAAUGUUUGGUGUUAAUGUAUGAGAGUACUUCACAUGUAAACAAUAUUGAUGAAGUUGUCUGCUUAUUUGGGGCCAAAUAAGGAGAGAAAUUUUCUUGGAAAAGAAUCAAAAGCAAAAAAGGAUAGCAUGACAGAAGAAUGCCGAAGGGUUGCUCAGCUAUUAACAUCGCCUUAUAAUCUUUAUUUAUUUCAAUUGUGUUGUAAGAAGUAUUUUUUAAACAGUAAAACU